GACGAACCGUGCGAACGUUGUUCGGAUUCACUGGGCUUAAAGGGCGCGUAGGCGGGCGGUCAAGUCAGGGGUGAAAUCGUUCGGCUCAACCGGAAAAGUGCCUUUGAUACUGGCCGUCUCGAGGGAGGUAGGGGCAUGCGGAACUUCCGGUGGAGCGGUGAAAUGCGUAGAUAUCGGAAGGAACGCCGGUGGCGAAAGCGGCGUGCUGGACCUCUUCUGACGCUGAGGCGCGAAAGCCAGGGGAGCAAACGGG
rnacentral:rRNA from 1 species